rnacentral:rRNA from 1 species
AACAUGUCUGUUUGGAGUUAUAAAAAGUUUGGCCUGCCCACUGAUGAGUUAAAGGGCCGCGGUAUUCUGACCGUGCAAAGGUAGCAUAAUCGUUAGGUUUUUAAUUGAAAUCUUGUAUGAAUGGUUGGACAAAGAAAAUCUUGUCUCUGUAUUUAAUGAUUGAAAUUAACUUUUAAGUGAAAAGGCUUAAAUGGGUUAAAAAGACGAUAAGACCCUAUAAAACUUAAUAUAAAAUUAUUAUAAAAUGGAAUUUUAGUUUAUAAAAGUUUAAUAAGUCUUUGUAUUUUAUUGGGGCGAUAAAAAUAAAAUGUUCAUUAACUGUUUAAAAUUAUAGACAAAAAUGAAUGAUUAAGAUUCUAAAUGAUCCUGUGUUAUAGAUUAUAAGUUUAAGUUACUUUAGGGAUAACAGCGUUAUUUUCUUUGAGAGUUCUUAUCGAAAAGAAAGUUUGCGACCUCGAUGUUGAAUUAAGAUAUCUAUACAAUUGCAGAAGUUGUAUAGGAAGGUCUGUUCGACCUUUAAAAUUUUACGUGAUCU